GACGAACGCUGGCGGCGUGCUUAACACAUGCAAGUCGAACGGAAAGGCCCUGCUUUUGUGGGGUGCUCGAGUGGCGAACGGGUGAGUAACACGUGAGUAACCUGCCCUUGACUUUGGGAUAACUUCAGGAAACUGGGGCUAAUACCGGAUAGGAGCUCCUGCUGCAUGGUGGGGGUUGGAAAGUUUCGGCGGUUGGGGAUGGACUGGCGGCUUAUCCGCUUGUUGGUGGGGUAGUGGCUUACCAAGGGUUUGACGGGUAGCCGGCCUGAGAGGGUGGCCGGGGACGUGGGGACUGGGGGAGGGCGCAGACGGGUACGGGAGGCAGGGGGGGGGAGUGUGGCGGAGUGGGGGGGAGCGUGGGGGGGGGGCGCGGGGUGCGGGAUGAGGGGCUUCGGGGGGUGAACCGGUGUGGCGGGGGGCGGGGCGGGAGUGACGGUAAUGGGUAAGGAAGCGCCGGCUAACUACGUG
rnacentral:rRNA from 1 species